UGCCAUUUUUAUCAGUCACUGUGAUUCAUUAUUCUACAGUGCCUGUUAGAAUGGUUUG
rnacentral:pre_miRNA from 1 species